CGUUCGUGUCUCUGGCCGGCUACCGCGAUAAAUACUAUGCGCAUAAAUUACAACCGUACCGGUUUCCCGAUUUCCACUCGGAACUCUUCGUUUAUCAAUAUGUACGACGAUUGGUAUUUUCUUUCGACGCUUUCAGAUACACGCACGUUGCAUGAAUAUAGGUUGAAUUUGUAUAGUAAUUACCGCGCGUUUCCCAUCGCUCCCGCGAACUUUUCGCCUAUACAAACGCGGUUGAAAGUUCGAAUUUCGACGGACCACUACGUGUAAAAAAAAAUAAAAAAAAA